AUCCAGAUGACGAGUGCCAGAGUAGGACGAAACGCACAUCCUGGAU
rfam:Schistosoma curassoni strain Dakar, Senegal genome assembly, scaffold: SCTD_scaffold0002532